AUUGCUUAGUGGUUAAGAGCACUGGCUGCUCUGCCAGAGGACCUGGGUUCAAUUCUCAGU
rnacentral:tRNA from 1 species